rnacentral:tRNA from 1 species
UGGAGAGGUGGCCGAGUGGACGAAGGCGCUCGCCUCGAAAGCGAGUAGGCUAACUGCCUCGUGGGUUCGAAUCCCACCCUCUCCGCCAC